GUGCACCAGUCGCGAAUACUUUACAAUGUGCGAAAGCACGAUAAGGGAACUCUGAGUGCCUCCUAAGGAGGCUGUUCAGGUGUCUAAAAGCACCUGAAGGAAGGGCUGGGUAAGACCGGUGCCAGCCGCCGCGGUAACACCGGCAGCCCAAGUGGUAGCCACGUUUAUUGGGUCUAAAGCGUCCGUAGCCGGCUGGGUAAGUUCCUUGGGAAAUUUGGCUGCUUAACAGUCAAGCUUUCAGGGAAUACUGCCCGGCUUGGGACCGGGAGAGGUCAGAGGUACUCCAGGGGUAGGGUGAAAUCCAUUAAUCCUUGGGGGACCACCGGUAGCGAAGGCGUCUGACCAGACCGGGUCCGACGGCGAGGGACGAAGGCUAGGGGCGCGAACCGGAUUAGAUACCCCC
rnacentral:rRNA from 1 species